GUCGAACGCGUUUCCGUUAUUGAUUUUAGGUGCUUGCAUUUGAAUGAUUUAACACGAAACGAGUGGCGAACUGGUGAGUAACACGUGGGUAACCUGCCCUUGAAGUAGGGGAUAACACUUGGAAACAGGUGCUAAUACCGUAUAACAACCAAAACCACAUGGUUUUGGUUUAAAAGAUGGCUUCGGCUAUCACUUUAGGAUGGACCCGCGGCGUAUUAGCUUGUUGGUAAGGUAAUGGCCUACCAAGGCAAUGAUACGUAGCCGACCUGAGAGGGUAAUCGGCCACAUUGGGACUGAGACACGGCCCAAACUCCUACGGGAGGCAGCAGUAGGGAAUCUUCCACAAUGGACGAAAGUCUGAUGGAGCAACGCCGCGUGAGUGAUGAAGGGUUUCGGCUCGUAAAACUCUGUUGUUGGAGAAGAACAGGUGUCAGAGUAACUGUUGACAUCUUGACGGUAUCCAACCAGAAAGCCACGGCUAACUACGUGCCAGCAGCCGCGGUAAUACGUAGGUGGCAAGCGUUGUCCGGAUUUAUUGGGCGUAAAGCGAGCGCAGGCGGUUUCUUAGGUCUGAUGUGAAAGCCUUCGGCUUAACCGGAGAAGUGCAUCGGAAACCAGGAGACUUGAGUGCAGAAGAGGACAGUGGAACUC
rnacentral:rRNA from 2 species